AAGACAAGGGGCAGAGGCAGAGAGAGAGAGAGGAGCCACCCUGAGAAGGAAGAGACCAGGAUCACACCUGGAUGAACUAUCACUUUCAAAUGACCUUGUCUUUUCUCGGGCCUUCUGAACUGAUCAUCUCUUCCUUCUGAUACAAGAGGAUCUUCCCUGGAAGACCACUGCACACCUUCUAGUAACACUGCGACCCUGGAUGCAUAUUUAGAAAAAUCUCAGCACAUCUCUGGGCAAUGAAAUCAUUCUUUUGGGACCUGACACAUGAACUGAAGUGUAAUUGGCAUUCUUCGUGGAAGGGGCAUG
rnacentral:lncRNA from 10 species